UACGUAGGGGGCUAGCGUUGUCCGGAAUCAUUGGGCGUAAAGAGCGUGUAGGCGGUCCGGUAAGUCCGCUGUGAAAGUCGGGGGCUCAACCCUCGAAUGCCGGUGGAUACUGUCGGGCUAGAGUGCGGAAGAGGCGAGUGGAAUUCCUGGUGUAGCGGUGAAAUGCGCAGAUAUCAGGAAGAACACCCGUGGCGAAGGCGGCUCUCUGGGACGUGACUGACGCUGAGACGCGAAAGCGUGGGGAGCGAACAGG
rnacentral:rRNA from 1 species